CAAAGUAUAGUUUAAUAAAAUGUUAGUUUUGGGGAUUAAAGAUAAGGUAAGUUCUUUACUUUGA
rnacentral:tRNA from 1 species